rnacentral:rRNA from 1 species
UUAUCCGGAUUUAUUGGGUUUAAAGGGCGCGUAGGCGGGACGGUAAGUCAGCGGUAAAAGACUGCAGCUAAACUGUAGCACGCCGUUGCAACUGUUGACCUAGAGACGAGACGAGGGAGGCGGAACAAGUGAAGUAGCGGUGAAAUGCAUAGAUAUCACUUGGAACCCCGAUAGCGAAGGCAGCUUCCCAGGCUCGUUCUGACGCUGAUGCGCGAGAGCGUGGGUAGCGAACAGGAUUAGAUACCCUGGUAGUCCACGCCGUAAACGAUGCUCACUGGAUCUUGGCGAUACACGGCCAGGGUUCAAGCGAAAGUAUUAAGUGAGCCACCUGGGGAGUACGUCGGCAACGAUGAAACUCAAAGGAAUUGACGGGGGCCCGCACAAGCGGAGGAACAUGUGGUUUAA